UACGUAGGGGCGAGCGUUGUCCGGAAUGACUGGGCGUAAAGGGCGCGUAGACGGCUUUUUAAGUCUGGAGUGAAAGUCCUGCUUUCAAGGUGGGAAGUGCUUUGGAGACUGGGGAGCUUGAGUGCGGAAGAGGUAAGUGGAAUUCCCAGUGUAGCGGUGAAAUGCGUAGAGAUUGGGAGGAACACCAGUGGCGAAGGCGACUUACUGGGCCGUAACUGACGUUGAUGCGCGAAAGCGUGGGGAGCGAACAGGAUUAGAUACCCGGGUAGUCCCUGAGCGGGCU
rnacentral:rRNA from 1 species